rnacentral:rRNA from 1 species
GACGAAUGCUGGCGGCGUGCUUAACACAUGCAAGUCGAACGGUGAAGGGACUGGUUUUGCUGGUCCUGGAUGAGUGGCGAACGGGUGAGUAACACGUGAGUAACCUGCCCCCUUCUUCUGGAUAACCGCAUGAAAGUGUGGCUAAUACGGGAUAUUCUGGGUCUGUCGCAUGGUGGGCCUGGGAAAGAUUGCGCCUUUUUUGGUGUUUUUGGUGGGGGAUGGGCUCGCGGCCUAUCAGCUUGUUGGUGGGGUGAUGGCCUACCAAGGCGGUGACGGGUAGCCGGCCUGAGAGGGUGGACGGUCACACUGGGACUGAGACACGGCCCAGACUCCUACGGGAGGCAGCAGUGGGGAAUAUUGCACAAUGGGCGCAAGCCUGAUGCAGCGACGCCGCGUGAGGGAUGGAGGCCUUCGGGUUGUGAACCUCUUUCGCCAGUGAAGCAGGCCUGCCUCUUUUUGUGGGUGGGUUGACGGUAGCUGGAUAAGAAGCGCCGGCUAACUACGUG